GGUGUCUUCACUGCGAUGAGUCGACUGCUGCUGCUUCCCCGUCGACUCUGCCUGCGCCUCGCGCAGAGCUGGAGUACAGGUGUCAACAGGAGAGGGCUCGGGGGCGAUUUAUCGAUGGCUGCCAGAUGAUCCAA